rnacentral:rRNA from 1 species
CACGGGGGUGGCGAGCGUUGUCCGGAAUCACUAGGCGUAAAGGGCAAGUAGGCGGAAAGAUAAGUCAGGUGUUAAAGGCGUCGGCUCAACCGACGUAAGGCAUUUGAUACUGUUAUUCCAGAGUGGGGUAGAGGAAGACGGAAUUCCUGGUGUAGCGGUGGAAUGCGCAGAUAUCAGGAAGAACACCGAUGGCGAAGGCAGUCUUCUGGGCCUUAACUGACGCUAAAUUGCGAAGGUGUGGGUAUCGAACAGGAUUAGAUACCCUGGUAGUCCACACAGUAAACGAUAAACACUAGGUGUUGGGAUCGACAAUAGGUUUCAGUGCCGUAGCUAACGCGCUAAGUGUUUCGCCUGGGGAGUACGAUCGCAAGGUUGUA